CGGUCAGACUGCCUUCCCGGUCGCGGUGUUCUGCGGCCCCCCGCUGGAGAGAACCGCGAAUAGCAGCGCAGAGGAGCUGAACUGAGCGAAGAGGCGGAGAUUUAAAGGGCGACCUGUUGAGCUUCUCUGAACCUCAGGUCCAAGGGCACAACCAGCAGCAUGGCAUGAACCCCUAAUGGGCUCCCCGACAGACCUCGGACCAUUUCUUUGUCCAUCUCUUGUGUCCAGUGUGAGGAAUUCUUCCACCAGCCCGGGGUGUCGGUCACAGUGAUCAAUCUGCCAGCAACUUCCCUCUUCUCCUCCCGACAGUGCAUACUCUCACAGCUCCUGUAAUCUAUUGCUGGAACCUGACAAGAAAACAACAGACAUCUUGGAAUGAGAGACCAGGUGACAACCUGUAGACACAAUAAUAAUGACCAGUGGGGAGAUUUCAUACGUCUAUACUAUUAUAGUUUAUAGCUGUGUUACAGAAUAUCAAAAGUGGCUACAUAAACUGAUGCAGUAGCUGUGUAUGUCAACUUUUAAUUGGUUUUCAAGGUAACAUAUACAACUAUGUGUAUGUAUAUUCAAGUCAGGUUGAAGAUUCUGUGUUAACGCUGUUUGUACAUGUGCAAAUUCAUCCUCAAACUGUUUCAAUAAAGACUAAAGGAGACAGACAACAAAUCACCAGACAUGAUAAUACUAAACUUAAUCCCUUGUUUGAAUCUUUGGCAAGAAAGGCGUACUCUUUACAAAGAGGAAAAGACAGACUAUAUACUAUAUACUGGUGAAAGUUAUGCUGGCAAGCAAAAAGAGAGUUGAGAGUUGUUGAGCGAUUUUCAACUAGAACUGCCUGGAUGACAGUCAGUGAACAUUAUGAGUUUUGCACUAACUGCACUGUUGUUGUAAUUGUAAUUUUCUUCCCCCCUAGUAUCAGAACUAGCUCUGACAGUGACAGACGUUUGCGACACUGAUGC